CGUGGGUAACCUGCCCAAGAGAUCGGGAUAACACCUGGAAACAGAUGCUAAUACCGGAUAACAACAGAUGAUGCCUAUCAACUGUUUAAAAGAUGGUUCUGCUAUCACUCUUGGAUGGACCUGCGGUGCAUUAGCUAGUUGGUAGGGUAACGGCCUACCAAGGCGAUGAUGCAUAGCCGAGUUGAGAGACUGAUCGGUCACAUUGGGACUGAGACACGGCCCAAACUCCUACGGGAGGCAGCAGUA
rnacentral:rRNA from 1 species